UUACCUAGUAGGCCUAAGAGAGAGGGGUCUGACUAGGAAGGUUGAUGAAGGAGGAGCUUAAAGAAGCAUGGUAGAAAGUAGUCUAGGGAAGAUAGUAGUAGGGUUGGUGAAGGCCCAGGCCUUAACUGCUUGCUGUAGGGCCCUGGACUGGAAUCUAGAAUAAAGGGCGGGCCUGGGUUCCCCUGCCAUCCACUGCAAAGUGGUAUUGCUAUGGGCAGUGAAUGGGAAUCCUGCCUGGUCAUUGCAGGAAUGAUGUAGUCAGGGCAGCUGACUGAGGGCUGCCUGAAGGGAAAACCACUGUGAGACCUGGCUGGAGAUUUGGAUCCCGAAGCAGCCAUACUGUGACUCCAUGAGUGGGAGGAGAGCUGCAAUGAUGGAAGAUCAGAAAGGGGGCACUGAACCAGGCAGAGCUAAUUGACUGAAGGAGGCAUCACUCUGUGGAUUGACUCACCACACGCACGACGACGCAGGAUAGGGAGUCAGAGGGUUUUAGCAACUUACCUGAAGAAGCACUCAUCUGAUCCUGUUCUGGGUUCCCUGGUUCCAUCUGAGGGAUCUAGCAGUCCUGCUGUGCUGUGCUAUCCUAAGGAGAAGACAUCAGUGAAUCAAGCUGCCAGGAAUGGUGAGAAGUAGGAAGAAAUUGUGUUAGGCAUCAAGAACAGAAGCAGAUUAUCAUCCAUUGUAGCCAUUUCCAGACUAAUAUGAAUCCUGUCUCCUGAUCUGCUGAUGCAAGUUAGUCUCUCAACUGAGAUUUCAUUAAGGUAACUCACCCUUGACUCUGACAUCUGGGCUCAUAUUCCUGGCAGCUGACUCCUGCUCCAGCCAAUAGACACAUCCACCCAUGUCCCAGUCUUCGACAGUUUGAGCAGCCCUAAAAACACAAACAAUAAGGGAACUAGAGCUGAUAUGGCAAGCAUGGAUCCUACAAAGGCCAAUAUCUCUGACUGAGAUAGUGGGAGCCCUACAGAAUCUACAGGCCCAGAAUGGCUGAAGCCACUUCAUCUUAAGUU